rnacentral:lncRNA from 1 species
CCACCUCAAAAAAAAAAACAAAAAACCAUAGAUUUUUAAGGCCUCGGCACUGCCAUACUAUGACAUGGGCCUACCCUGGGUGGUCAUUGUCCCAUCUUGCACAGCCCCCAACCUCUUCUCUGGAGGACAACGACAGCACAAGAAAGCGCUCUGAAGAUGAGCCGCAUCACCACUCUUCCAGCUCACCAUCGAUUUGGAAGCCUAGAGAGGAUCGGCCUUUCUAGGACAAUAGACGGUUCCUUCUCCUCACCUAGAGUGGCCCUAAGAGGACGAGGGCGCCUCCCUGGUCCUCCAGGGGAGUGUGCAUCCCCAGGUGCACAGGGAAACGAGCUCUCAUCCUACCACCCUUGGGCUUUUACAGAUGCUUUUCUCCCCUUCACUUUCUUUUUCAUUUCUUUUCUUUUCCUUUUUUUUUUUUUUUUUUUUUUUUUAAUUUUUGAGACAGAGUUUCGCUUUUGUCACCCAGGCUGGAAUGCAA